rnacentral:tRNA from 1 species
GGGAAUGUGGCUUAGUGGUAGAGUACUUGCCUAGCAGGUAUGAAGCCCUGGGUUCAAUUCCUCAGUACCA